GAUUUAUACCUAUUCGAAGGGAUAGGGUCGGUUUGGCCGGAUUUCACACAGGUGUUGCAUGGCUGUCGUCAGCCGUGUCGUGAGAUGUUGGGUUAAGUCCCGCAACGAGCGCAACCCUCAUCCUUAGUUACCAUCAGGUUAUGCUGGGACUUUAAGGAAACUGCCAGUGACAAACUGGAGGAAGGUGGGGAUGAUGUCAAGUCAUCAUGGCCCUUAUGGAGUGGCUACACACGUGCUACAAUGGUGAUUACAAUGGGCUGCAAGGUCGCAAGGCUGAGCUAAUCCUAAAAAAUCAUCUCAGUUCGGAUUGUUCUCUGCAACUCGAGAGCAUGAAGUUGGAAUCGCUAGUAAUCGUGGAUCAGCAUGCCACGGUAAUACGUUCUCGGGUCUUGUACACACUGCCCGUC
rnacentral:rRNA from 1 species